rnacentral:lncRNA from 1 species
AAGUGUUAGAGUCGUAGUUAUAGUCGGCCUUCUCCGCCACCCACAUGUUCACGGCAUCCGUGCCCGACAAGUCAGCGGUGCUCAUGGCAAGGUUUUCGCCGUAGGGCCCACCAGAGUGGACAAGAUUGCAGUCGCCAAUGUGUUGAUUGGCAUAGUCUUGCGCAUAGCCUUGUAGCUUCUCAUCCCAUGACAAUGGCCCGACAUUUACCGCCGCUCGAGCGUUGUUAUGGGCAGUGACGUAGUCUUGCGGUGUGUCUUGGGCAUGAGUGGAUUGGAGAAGGGCAGAGCCUAAAACACAAACGAGGGCUAGUAAAAUCUUGGACAGGCCCAUGUUGGGUUUUGAGAGUUUGAUAAUGUAUGAAGGAGUUUUUUGUUGCGAGAACGAUACAUAUAGUGUGGGGUAUUUAUAAUGGAAAAUGUGGAAAUUUAUGUGCGUUACUAUUCAAGAGCGUUCCUAAUACGUUACUGACGCUAUCAAUAAUGGAGUGUGCUUGUGCAAUAUGAUAUCAAAAUACUUGAGAGCUUGUGAAAUAUAUUAUCGAUGCAUCUAGAAAACAUAUGAGUUGCUUUGCCAUCAGAAAAUAAAAAAUAAAAAAACGUAUGAGUUGAUCAGUUAGCUAGGUCUAGCUAAGGCUAACCGUCAAUUUCGGGGAAUAAAUUGAUGGCAAACUUCGGAAGACAAGAAAAGAAAAGUAAAUUUUGGAAAAUAGGGGAAAUGAAUAUGAAGUAUAUACCAUACCAUGAUUGCUUUGGAAAAUCCUUUAUGGACUUUACCAUACCAUGUGUAGUGCGUGUAGUUGUACGGGUCUUGAAAAAAAAAGAGAUAUUUAGUCAUCAGUCCUCUUCUAUUGAGGGAUCCCUCAAAUAAUUUUAUUUGAGGGACGCCCCUUAGGGUACCCUACAAUUUUUUUCCCAAUGAUCCAAACCAUCUAUUUUUUAGGUCUUUAUUCAUAGAUCAUCCUUACAAAAAAUUAGACAAAUUGGAAACCAUUUCAACAUCCAAUUGUGUCUUACAAAAUCAAUGAAUACGAUGCUUCAAGAAAAUGCUAAAAUUUCAAUAGCUUAAUUGAGUGGUCAAAUAAUAUCGGAUUCAAGUGAUUUUUUGUUGAUAUGAUCUUUGAAUGAGUAUAUACAAAAUAGACGGUUUGGAUUAGUGAAAUACAAUCCGGAGUGGGGCCUACAAGGGGUGUCCCUCAAAUAAGCUUAUUUGAGGGAUUCCUCAAUAGAAGCUCUCUGAUUUAGUCAUAUAUCCAUUCUUAGCACUAAAAUUAUAAAUAAAUUCUACAUCAUUUAAUUUCUAUAAACAAACCCAACAAAAACCCAAAAAAUGACAGCUGACUCUAUUGAAUUUAAUUUUGAUUAUUAAAUUACUUUGAUGCCCUAUUGAGUGUUUUGGGCUUUUUUUUUAUGAGGUUUUGGGGUUGGGUUCGUUUUAAGAAAUCAAUGACAGUUUUGUAAUUCAAAAGAAGUUAAAAGCAUUUUUGUUAUGUUGUAAAUGGGCUUUGGGUGUGUUUCUAAACUCCAUUUCAUAUAUGAUUUUUUUUAAAUGUAAAUAAUUUGGGCUCCUAUAUUAGGUAUAAUAGUGAAUCUCCCAAAAAGAAAAGUGAAGUCAAUAUAACUGUUGAUGCCCAAAAAAUCUAGGGAGAUUCACUAUUAUACCUAAGGGCUUUCAUGACUCUACUCUCUAGGAUAAUGAGGUAUUGUUAUCUUCUCAAUACAAAGGCAAAUGAAUGAAAAUUGGAGAAAAGAGACUCGAGCAAAUUAUGUUGUGAUAUUGGAGCAUGAGAUUGAUAGGUACAUCACCGACCCUAUUGAAGAUGUGGUUGACUUAUUCGAUGUUUUAAAGUAGUGGAAAUUGAAUGAGGUUAAGUAUCCGGGUUUGGCACUUAUUGCAAAGGAUGUGCUUGACAUCCCAGUAUCAACGGUGGCUUCAGAAUCAUGUUUUAGCACAGGUGGUUGGAUAGUUAAUUCAUUUCGUGCUUCUUUGACUCCUAAAAUUUUGGAGGCCUUAAUUUGCUCUCAAAAUUGGUUAAGGUCAGGUGACAUAUCCUCUUUAUAAUAUGAGCCAACAAUUCAAGAGAUGAAGUUUUAUGAAUCCAUUGAAUUAGGUAUUUCUUUGUAAUUUUAUAUGCUUUAUUAAUGUAAUUUACAAUUUGUAGGUUUCACUAAUGUUUUAAUGGGUUUUUUUUUAAUUUUAUAUAGAUUUAUGAGUUCAUCCACACCUCCCAAGUCUGCCCCAGCUACUUUUCAAUGUUAGGAGGAAUUUAAUGAAGUUGCAACACUUAGGACUACAUGCUUUUGUGGAGUUUUUGCAUGCUUGUAUUUUGUUUAUAUUUUGCUGCAGUGGGAUUGUAAUUUAUUUUGAAUUUGGAUUGUAAUUUAUAUUUUGCUGAAGUUGAAUAUAAUUUAUUUGCUAAAGUUGGAUUGAUUUUGAUGUGAUAAAAGCUUGGUGGAAGUUUAAAUUUGGGCUUGGCCUAUUUGAUAAUGAACAAAUUGGUAGGUUUGUAAUAUAAUUAAAUUUUGGGCAGGUCUGUAAUAUAAUACAAUUUUGGGCAGAUCUGUAAUAUAAAUAAAAUUAUAUAUUACAAUUUUGGGCUCAUGCCAAAAAUCGAUAAUCGCAAGAACCAAACUGGAAUUGGGCAGGUCUGGGUUGGUUCGGUCUUGCCUAUAAAUCUUUGUCAAAAUCGAACAAAACCGAAUUGAUCUUCAUUUUCAGUUCAAGUUCUAAUUUUAUAAGAAAUCGGCCUGAACCGAACUAUGUCCACCCCUAAUAUCCAUUAAAUUUAGCAUCCACCAUGCCGGUGAAUAAGAUCAAUCAAUUGAUGAUCUAACAUCACUUCUUAAUUCAUUUUGUUCUUGAUAACAUAGAUUCAUAGAUAUAGUUGGUUUGUUUUUUUAGACGAAUAAAUAUAGUUGGUUUAGUAAGACUUCUACUCAACAUUGUUGCCAAUGGUGAAUAUUAUUGGAACAUCCAUGCACCUGGCACAUGGUAGAAUUUUCGCAUAGGAGUUGUAAGGCUUGUAAGGCUUCUGCCCAACAUAGUUGCCUGGUGGAUCAAAGUUGCACCCGAUGAAGGUACCUCCACUGUUGCACCUCACUUUUGCACACCCUACACGAGUUGUGUUACGCCAAAUAACCUGCGUAUAAUGCCCACACACCUUGCCAUCGGCACAAGUGUUAGAGUCGUAGUUAUAGAAGGCCUUCUCUGCCACCCACAUGUUCACGGCAUCCGUGCCCGACAAAUCAGCGGUGCUCAUUACUGACUCUAUCAAUAAUGGAGUGUGCUUGUGAAAUAUAAUACCAAAAAUACUUGAGAGCUUGUGAAAUAUAUUAUCGAUGCAUCUAGAAAACAUAUGAGUUGCUUUGCUAUCAGAAAAAAUAAAAUGAAAAAACGUGUAUGAGUUGACCAGUUAGCGUCUAAAGAAGGCUAACCGUCAAUUUCGGGGAACAAAUUGAUCGCAAACUAUGGAAGACCAGAAAAGAAAAGUAAACUUUGGAAAAUAGGGGAAAGGAAAUUCUUUAUGGACUUUACCAUACCAUGUGUAGUGCGUGUAGUCUGUACGUGUGAAUGAGCUAAUAUGGCUCAAGUCCCACCAUGUUUACAGGAGGGUCGUAAUUGCAAAGAAACAAAACUCCACCCACUAUUACGCUGUACCCUUCCACACCCAAGACAAACCCAAGUGUCCCAAACACACUAAGUUUUGGACUCGUAGUUAUAUAAUUGGGCUUCGGCUCGACCAAGGCUCUCUUGGGCGCUUCUGAAUGUACCAAAUUACAAUUUUCAGCCCAGGCAAAGUCCAUAAACUGAAAUGUCAUUGCCCCAAUUUCCGCGUGUCAUUUAAUAAUUUUCAUGCUUAAAUUGCCAAACAAUGGAAAUAUCAAUUUCUCCUCUUUAAUUUCCGGCUUUUAACCAAAUCCCAAGUUAUUUUCCUCCAUCCAAACGGAGGGUUAAGGAAAAACAAUUCUUGCUACAAGAAUCAUUCUCUCUCUCUCUCUCUCUCUCUCUCUCUCUCUCUCUCCCCCAUUUGUGUACCGUGUCCUAUGAAAGUCAUGAUUUUCGGGGUUUUUAUCACAAAAAGGUACUGGAAAAAUCCGAAAAUUGCUCCUUAAGAAAUAAAAUUUAUUCUUAAAAAAAAAAACCUGAAAUAAAAAAUAAGACCGCAAAUUAACUAAUAGAUGUGGAGGAAAAUGGUUGGUCGGGUUCAGAGUCAGAAAAUUACGAGUAAGGAUCUUGUCCUCACCUCUUAAAAUUACGAGUUAAUAUGGUCAAGUCUCUUUGAGUUUUAGGGAGAGAAGUAUCACUAGCCCAAAAUCAAGAGUUAAUUAGUAUUAAUUAAAGAGAGGUUGAUGACAAUUAAAAAUAAAGAGAAUGAAAUAAAAACUUACAAAAAAUGAAAUAAUUUUUACUUCUUUUUUAUAUAUGUCAUCUCCUCUUAUAAUCAACAGUCACGUAAAAGAAUGUUGGGAGGGUGAGGAGGUAAAUUCGUACACACCCGUUACAUGUAAUCGCCUCUAUCCCCUCUUAUUCUUCUAAUUUCUCAACAACAAAAAUACAAGACCCCCAAACAGGCCUAGUCGAGGUGUGCACGUAUGUUUGUGUGACAUGUAAAUUUAGUGUCUAGUAGGGAUGGUCCUCCUCAUUAUAAGCAGGAUCAUAGUUGCAGAUGACAUAGUUUAGUCCAUUCUUGCACUUUGAAAUGCCACAACCAACUUCGGUGGUUUUGCCCCAAAUCACACCAAGGUAAUGUCCACAUUCGUCUCGGACGCAUUUGUUUAGGUCGUAGUCAUAAAACUCCUUCUCAGUGACCCAAUACUUGGCGGCAGCUGCUCCAGACAUGCCUUCUCCUGAGGCCAAGUUCUCACCAUAAGGCCCCAUUGAGUGCUCCAUGGCGCAGUCAUCAACUCUCUUGUCUGCAUAAUCUUGGGCAUACUUGGCUAGGGUCGCGUUCCAUUUGAGUGGACGGUUGCCGACCUGGGCGCGGGCCUUGUUGUGUUCCUCCACGAAGCCAUCGAUAUCUUCUUUGGAAAGGUCUGCAGAGACAAGAGUGAAGAACAAUGCGACGGAGCAGAUGGCCAGAAGAAGCUUGAUGUUGAACGCCAUUUUGUUUCUCGGUAUGAGAAAGGUCUCGGAUGUUAUUGUAUUAGAGAAUGUUGAAUUGAUAGAGGUUAAUUGAAAGGGCAAAUGAGAUUGUGCAUAUUUAUAUAGUUGAGAGGGUUAAAUAUAGGAUCCUUGAAAAUGGGAGGGUUUCUCAAGUUCUAUAAAUAACCAUGGAGAACAAAUAAGACCUGUGAGAGUGGAUUUUAGAUUCAUAGAAACAGUGUAUUGUCGGACAAUCAAUCUAUACCAUUGAUUAAGUAGGUUUUAUUUUAAUCCUAUAUUACAAUAUAUAAUCAUUACUUAGGUGAGGAUUUUUCGCUGCAAUGACAAACAUUUAGCCUUGCAAUGAGGAUCAAAGUUUUGACUCUCGUCUUCUCUAUCUCAUAAAUAAAGUAGUCGUUACUCCAGAAUGAUAUAAAUGAACUUGUAAUAUGGCCCCUCUGUCAACUUCUUGUGGCUUUUAAAAAUAAAAGGUAAAGCAUUAUGCUUCUUACCAAAAUACAAACAAAUGAAAGAGGAAGCAAAUUAAUUAGACAAAAAGGUCACCUUUCGUUCAUGUAGUUUGAUGAAAUUUUCACUUUUGUUCUUGUAAUUUUAAUUCUAGCAAUUUGACCCAUGUAGUUUGAUAAACACGCGUCUCUUAUGUGGAGGAGUAUUUUGUACCGAAUUUUGGACGAAAUUCACUGGAAAUUUAGAUGGGUCCUUGAAUUGCGAUAGAAUCAAACUACAAAAGUGAAAUGACAAAAUUAAACUACAUGGAUCAAAAUAAAAAAAAAUUCCGACAAAUUACAAGGACCAAAAAUAACUUUUUUUUCCCAAUUAAAUAUGGAUAUAGAGGAAAACGUUUGAAGGGUGUUGCCUCUCUUGGUCUUGCAACAACUUUGGGCUCUCAUAUGCCCGAGUUGCCCCAUAUCAGAUUGGUAUUGUUUGGCCCAUGAAAAACUCUUGCUAGUUUUCUCGGUUUUCAGGCCCAUUGUAGCAAAAAGGAAAUACGUAUGGUUGUUUAGCUUUAUGUUUCUUAGCAAACUAAUGGACAAUUAGUCUUUUAUUAAAAUUACCAGUAGUUUUGGUUGUUGAAUCUCGUGCAAGUUAGGUUGUGGUUGUAUUGGCUGCAAGCGGUGCAAGUUAGGUUGUGGUUGUAUUGGCUGCAAGCGGAACGUAGGCGCUUUAGGUGUGUGUUGACCAUGCACUCUCGCGUCAUGUAAUGUCGUAUGUAUGAUAUUGGUGGUGUGGUAAACCAAUUACUUUUUUGUCUAGUUAUAUUUUUCUUUCCAAUAUUAAAAACAAAAAAAUUCUCAAAUUCGAAUCUUCCCUCACUUAAAGAUUUUAAAAAAAAAAAAAACACAUAGACAUAACUGGAAAAACCAUAGAAAUAAUUAGUGAAAUAUAAUUACAACGAACACAUUCAAAUUUUCAAAAUCUAUAAAGACAUAAGAGAUCCAAGUUCCUACCUAUAAUCACUGCAACCACAAUCUUGACCAAGGGUUUUAAUCCAAAGAAUCUUUGAGAUCUUGAAUAAAGUUAGGUGACAUCUCAACCUUUACGACAAGUGUUCUAUUCUACUUUAUCUCUCCAAUCAUAUGAAGUUCUAAUCUUACUUGAAAUGGUAUAAGAUCAGUCCUUAUCUCUUGGAUUACAGGGGUCCAAGAGAUUUGUGAUCACUUACCGUUGGAUGUAAAUUCAACGAUUCACUCACUCUUGCACUCUUUUGAAGAAACUUUUUUGAACCAUUGCAUUAAUAUCCAAUGGUGGGUGACUACAAUCUCUUGGACUCCUGUGGUCCAAGAAAUCGGGACUCGGUAUAAGAUAUCAUAUAAGAUUUGUUAUAUUUAUAAUGGAAUGGGCUAAAUUUACUUUACGUGAAGGAUGUUGUAUUAGAAAUUUUGGGCUAAGAAAAACCACCACACCUGGGCUAUAGCUCAAGUUAGUCCUUACUAAGGACCAUCCUUGUUUAUUGUACAACCACAAUCAAAUUGGUAUACAAAUCUCAUAUAUACAUAAAGAAACGGUGCAUACAAACAUCAUGAACAAGAAAAUCUUAGGUGGCAUUUGGCAUCCUAUUCAAGUAUGGAAUUCAAAAACUUUUAUUUUUCUUGAAAACAAAGAGUCCUAAAACCCAUUUUUUAAGAUUCAAAAACUUGUUUGGUAUUCAAUGAGGGAACUCAAACUUUAAAAACAAGGAGUUCUGAAAUUCAUGUUUGAAGAUUAAAAAACUUGAUCAGACCAAAAAAAAAAAAAAGAUUAAAAAACUUGUUUGUUAUGCAACUUGAAAACAGUUUCUUUGAAAAAAUUCUAUAAAAUAGAUUUGUUAUAUUUUCAAGUAUUUGGGUGUUUUUGAGUUAUUUUUUAGUUUAGGUUUUCAAAACUAGGUCUCUACCAAACAAAUUUUUUGAGUUUUGGACUUAAAUAAUUUUUCAUUUUUUAUUUUUUGUAAAGUUUCACAAGUUGGAUUCAAAUAGAAUACCAAACAUGCACUUCACAUCCUUUUGAUAUUCCAUUUGUCAAUUAAAGACAAAGGCGAGAUGCAGAGGCAGACGAGAGAGAUUGGCCAAAAAAAAAAAAAAAAAAGAAAGAAAGAAUGAGAAUGACAUAAUAUUUCAGUUAGAAAUUACAGAAAUGAAAUAAUCUUAUUCUUUUUCAUUUUUUGAUUCACUCUUGUCACCUCUCACAAUACCAUAUCAAGUGCUAGUCACGUAAAAAAAUGUUGUGAGUGUGGGGAAGUAUUUGUAUACAUUCGUUACAUUUUAUUUUUCUAAUUUCAGUAAAAGAAAAAAAAAACACAGGACCUCUCAACAGGCCUAAUGUUGGUGUGGUUACGCGCACGUGAGCGUACAUACAUCAUCUAGUGGGGGCGCUCGUCUUCGGGCUGGUACAUGGGAUCGUAGCUGCAAACUACGUAGUUUUGUCCAUUCUUGCACUUUGAAAUGCCACAUCCGACCUUGGUAAUUUUGCCCCAGACCACAGCAAGGUAGUGACCACAUUCGUCUUUGACGCAUUUGUUGGACUUUUCGUCAUAGAACUCCUUCUUGGUGACCCAAUACUUGGUAGCAGCAGCACCGCUCAUGCCGUUGCCAGAGGCCAAGUUCUCACCCCCAACGCCCAAUCAAGGGAUCCAUGGCGCAAUCGUCAACUCUUUUCUCAGCAUAUUCUUGGGCAUACUGGGCUAAGGUCGUGUUCCACUUGAGGGGUUUGUUGCCGACCUCUUUACGAGCCUUGUUGUGCUCCUCGUCGAAGCCAUUGAUCUCUGCUUUGGAAAUGUUUGCAGAGACAACAGUGAAGACCAAUGCGACGCAACGGAUGGCCAAAAGAAGCUUCAUGUUGAACGCUAUUUUUGUUUCUUGAUAUGAGAAGUUUAAGGUUUGUCCUUUAUAUAUAUAUAUAUAUAUAAUUAUUGAAUUAAUAAUUGACACAAAUUAAUGUACUAAUCAUCCAAUUAUAAACUAGGCAUGAGUAAAGAAAAGUAAAUGAAAUGAAACAAAUUAUAUAUGUGAUUUAAGUGAUAUAAUCAUAAACCUAAACUCUUAUUUAUACAUAAUUAUAUAUGUAUCCGGGCCUAAUGGGCUGGGCUAUCGUAGGCUUAAUCGGGCUGGGCUAGGCUUCAGACACCCAAGCCCAAGGCGGGUCGGGCCAUCUCAAAGCCGAUAACGAGUCGGACCGGACUUUUUUUUCGAUGGGCCGGGUGGGACCCUAUCGGCCCAUGAGCCCACAUACCAAAUGAUGAGGCCUAUCUGUGGCUAACACCCUUUGGCCACGAAUUGGCUGUGGUCAAAAUGAUUAUAAGCCACAGGUAAUAUGUGGCUUAUAAGUCCGUUUUCUAGUAGUGACGGUUGUUUAGCCUUAUGUUUCUUACCAAAGUAACGGAUAAUUAGUCCCUUAUUAAAAUUUUGGAUAAACCACUUAGGUUUUUGUCUAGUUGUAUUUUUCUUUCCAAUAUAAGAAGUCUUAAAUUUGAUUCUUCCCUCACUUGAGGACGAAAAAAAAAAAACAUAGACAUAAUUGAUGACAUAUAUUUACAACCAACACAUUCAAAUUUUCAAAAUCUAUAAUGACAUAAAGCAAUCCAAGUUCCUACCUCUAAUCACUGCACCCACAAUCUUGACCAAGUGUUUUAAUCCAAAAAUUCUUUGAGAUCUUGAAUAAAAAGUUCGGUGACAUUUCAACCUUUACCACAAGUGUUCUAUUAUACUUUAGCUUCCAAUCAUAUGAAGUUCUAAUCUGACUUGAAAUGGUAUAAGAUAUCGUACAAGAUUUGUUAUAUUUACUAGCCUCUUGGCACAUGCUCACGCAUGUACCAAUUGGUUUUAUUUUUUAUUUUUUAUUUUAUUUUAUUUUUAAAAAAAACAUGGAUAGUUAUGUUCCACAAAAGUAGGACAUAUUAUAUGAUUUUGUUUUUAAUUUUAAUUUUUUUAAUAUAAAAAUGUGAAUUUACCAGAUUAUCCUCAUUUAAUUAAUAAUUUCAAUUCUUAAUGUUUCAAUUAACUAAGGGUAUUUUCUGGUAUUUUGAAUGUUUCAUCAUUCUCUGCCUUUUGCUUUAUAUAUAUAGAUAAUGAGAUGGACUAAAUUUACCUUACGUGAAUUAUGUGUAAACAAGUAUUAUGUGUAUGCUUCGGUGGGUUGUAUUAUAAAUGUUGGGCUAAGAAAAAAAACCACACAUGGGCUAUAGCCCAAGUUAAUCUUUACUAAGGACCGUCCCUAGUUAUGAUACAACCCACAAUCAAAUUGGUCUACAAAUAUCAGUUCAAAAAAUCUCAUAUAUACAUAAAGAAACGGUGCAUGCAAACACGUGCAUCCAUGAACAAGAAAAUCUUAGGUGGCAAUUGGUAUCUAUUCAAGUAUGAAAUUCAAAAACUUUGAUUUUUCGUAAAAACAAAGAGUUCUAAAAUCAAACUUUUAAGAUUCAAAAACUUGUUUGGUAUUCAAGGAGGGAACUCAAACUUUAAAAACAAGGAGUUCUAAAAUCCAUACUUUAAGAUUAAAAACAAUUUGUCGUAAAAAUUCUUAAAAAACCGAUUUGUUUGGGUUUUAAGUAUUUGUGUGGUUUUGAGUAACUAGGUCUACCAAACAUAUUUUUUGAAUUUUGGACUCAAUUUAUUUUUUUAAAGUUUAAAAAGUUGAAUUCAAAUAAAAUACCAAACAUACACUUAACAUCCUUUCGAUAUCACAUUUGUCGUAUUUUAAAAAAAAAAAAUAAAGACAAAUACGAGAUGGGGAGGCAUUAGACAAUUGAGAUUGAGAAAAAGUAAAAAAAAACAUAAAGAGAAUGAGAUAAUAUUUAGUUAGAAAUUACAAAAAAAGAAAAAAAGGAAAUAAUAUUAUUCUUUUCAUUUUUUAUCCAUUCUCUUGUCACCUCUCACAAUACCAUAUCAAGUAUGGGAGCUCGCAAAAGAAAAAAAAACACGGACCUCUCAACAGGCCUCAUGUAAGUGUGCGUACAUACAUCGUCUAGUAUGGGCGCUCGUCCUCGGGCUGGUACAUGGGAUCGUAGCUGCAAACGAUAUAGUUCUUUCCAUCCUUGCACUUUGAAAUCCCACAUCCGACCUCGGUGGUUUUGCCCCAGAUCACAGCAAGGUAGUGACCACAUUCCUCUUUGACACAUUUGUUGGACUUGGGGUCAUAGAACUCUUUCUCGGUGACCCAAUAUUUAGUGCCAGCUGCGCCGGUCAUGCCGUCGCCCGAGGUCAAGUUCUCACCCCAACGCCCUCUUGAGUGCUCCAUAGCGCAGUCGUCAACUCUUUUGUUGGCAUAUUCUUGGGCAUACUGGGCCAAAGUUGUGUUCCACUUAAGGGGUUUGUUGCCGACCUCUUUACGAGCCUUGUUGUGCUCCUCGAGGAAGCCAUCGAUCUCUGCUUGGGAAAUGUUUGCAGAGACAAGAGUGAAGACCAAUGCGACGCAGUAAAUGGCCAAAAGUAGCUUCGUGUUGAACGCCAUUUUUGUUUCUUGAUAUCAGAAGUUUAAGGUGUUUUCUUUCUAGCAGAGAAGGUUGGAUUGUUAGAUGUUGAUUGAAAUGGGAAAUGAGAUUGUGCAUAUUUAUGUAGUUGGGAGGGUUAAAUAUAGGAUCCUAAAAUGGGAGAGUUUGUUAAGUUCUAUAAACAAGCAUGGAGAACAAAUAAAACUUGUGUGGGAUUGCGUCACCGAGUGGAUUUGGUAUCCAUACAAACAUUGUAUUGUCAAACAAUCAAUCUAUACCAUUGAUUAAGUGAAGUUUUAUUUGAAUCCUAUAAUGAGGUGAGGAUUUUUAGCUGCAAUGACUAAAACAUUUAGCUGUACAUUGAGGAUCAAAGUUUUGACUUUGUUAACGAUAUAAAUGAACUUUGUUAUAUGACCCCUCUGUCAACUUCUUGUGGCUUUUAAAAAUAAAAGGUAAAGCAUUAUGCUUCUUACCAAAAUACAAAGAAAUGAAAGAGGAAGCAAAUUAAUUAGACAAAAAGGUCACCUUUCUUUCAUAUAGUUUGACGAAAUUUUCACUUUUGUUUUUGUAAUUUUAAUUCUAGCAAUUUGAUCCAUGUAGUUUGAUAAACACGCGUCUCUUAUGUGGAGGAGUAUUUUGUAUCGAAUUUUGGACGAAAUUCGCAGAAAAUUUAGAUGGGUCCUUGAAUUGCGAUAGAAUCAAACUACAAAGGUUAAAUUGACAAAAUUAAACUACAUGGACCAAAAAAAAAAAUCUGACAAAUUACACGGACUAAAAAUGACUUUUUUUCCCAAUUAAAUAUGGAUAUAGAGGAAAACGUUUGAAGGGUUUUGCCUCUCUUGAUCUUGCAACCACUUUGGGCUCUCAUCCGCCCGAGUUGCCCCAUAUCAGAUUGGCAUUGUUUGGCCCAUGAAAAACUCUUGCUAGUUUUCUUGGUUUUCAGGCCCAUUGUAGCAAAAAGGAAAUACGUAUGGUUGUUUAGCCUUAUGUUUCUUAGCAAACUAAUGUAUAAUUAGUCUUUUAUUAGAAUUUUGGAUAAACCAAUUACAUUUUUGUCUAGUUAUAUUUUUUUUUCCAAUAUUAAAAACAAAAAAUUCUCAAAUUCGAAUCUUCCCUCACUUAAAGAUUAAAAAAAAUAAACACAUAGACAUAACUGGAAAAACCAUAGACAUAAUUAGUGAAAUAUAAUUACAACGAACACAUUCAAUUUUUCAAAAUCUAUAAAGACAUAAGAGAUCCAAGUUCCUACCUAUAAUCACUGCAACCACAAUCUUGACCAAGGGUUUUAAUCCAAAAAAUCUUUGAGAUCUUGAAUAAAGUUAGGUGACAUCUCAACCUUUACGACAAGUGUUCUAUUCUACUUUAGCUUUCCAAUCAUAUAAAGUUCUAAUCUUACUUGAAAUGGUAUAAGAUAUCAUAUAAGAUUUGUUAUAUUUAUAAUGGAAUGGGCUAAAUUUACUUUACGUGAAGGAUGUUGUAUUAGAAAUUUUGGGCUAAGAAAAACCACCACACCUGUGCUAUAGCCCAAGUUAGUCCUUACUAAGGACCAUCCUUGUUUAUUGUACAACCACAAUCAAAUUGGUAUACAAAUCUCAUAUAUACAUAAAGAAACGGUGCAUGCAAACAUCAUGAACAAGAAAAUUUUAGGUGGCAUUUGGUAUCCUAUUCAAGUAUGGAAUUCAAAAACUUUUAUUUUUCUUGAAAACAAAGAGUCCUAAAACCCAUUUUUUAAGAUUCAAAAACUUGUUUGGUAUUCUAUGAGGGAACUCAAACUUUAAAAACAAGGAGUUCUAUAUUAGUAAGAUCAGUAGCAAACUCGAGGAGGAAGAGGCUGCAUGACACAUAAAUAGAGUAUAAUUAAUUUUUAUUUGUUUAUUGAAUCGAUAAUUUGAUAUUGAUUUGUUUAAUUAAUUGAUAAAUUACCGUCAAUUAGUCAUAGUUAUAGAUAUAAAACCCUUAUUUUGUUUUAAUUAUACAGUUAUACAAUGGUACUUUAAGAGAGAGUUUAAAUCCUCCUUCAAAUAAUUAUACAAUUAUGCAAUUGCUUUAGUUGAGAGAGCUUUGAAUAUUGUGAAAACACCAUUGCCCAACAAAAUAGGGAAUCAAUGGUUGAGUGAUAGUUUGGUUGUUUACAUCGAGAAAGAUGUUUUUUUUUUCCUUAUAUUAGUAACGCAAAUAUAAUGCGACAUUUUCAUGAUAUGAAACCUCGUCAGCAACAAUUGUAGGUUAAUUGUAAUAUUAUUUUUUGUAAUUAAUUAUGAAUAACAUUAGUAUUGUUUAAAUUAUAAGGAUAUUUAGUUGUCUUAGUCUUUAAAAAUUGCACCUCCAUUGAAAAAUUCUUGAGUCUGCCACUGCCCAUCCAAUUAUGCUUCGCCAUGUGGCAUCCUAUUACUCAAGAUGGAACGUAAUUGAUUGAGAAUAACAAAACAGUACUAUCCACGUGGUAUAUAAGUUUUUGUCAGGAAAUCUUUGGUCAAGGAUAGGCAAGUGGGGUUGUAGGAGGCAUGCAUGUGGAAUAUGUAUUGGAAUAUAGUGUGGAAAAUUUUCUUUCAAUAAUUAAUGGUCCUUUUUCCUUGCAUUCAUUUUUCGUCCUUCUGCCUUGAGGGAAAUGGUAGAAAUUGGUUGAAUUGUCAUUGUUGUCCUACAAUUCUUAUAGAGCAUAAUAGACAUUUCAAACUUUUCCUAAAUGGUCUCGGUCAAGAGAUUAUAGUCUUGUUUGUUAGGGAGGACUAGAUUAGACUAGACUAAACUAACAAAAUGUAUAUAUUUCAUGUGCAUUCAAAGCAUAAUAUGGAUAUUUUGCCUAACUUGGAGGAAUAAUGGAGAUUAUCUAUAAGAGGUUGAUUACUAAAACUUAUCCCCCUAAUCCCCUUGAAAAUGGUGGGAUUAUAAGGGAUAAGUUUUAGUCAUCAACCUAUUAUGAAUACUCCUCCUUCAUCCUCCAAGUUGGACAACAAUAUCCAAAUUAUGCAUUGAUUGCACAUAAAAUAUAGAUAUUUUGCUAGUUUAGUCCAAUCUAAUAUAGUGCUUCCUAACAAAUGAGGCUUGUCAUAGAAUAGUACAUAUCUUAACUCCCAAAUAUUUUGUGCAAUGUAAUUGCGUGGGUCGGUAGCAACUAGUUAGCUAGGACUGAGAGGUUUUCCUUGAAUGUUUCAAUUAUAUAUUAUUCUUCAUUAUUGAGUAACUUAAAAUUUCCUAUCAUCAAUUUUAAUUGUAUAUAAUUAUAAAAGGUGAUGUGACGUGAUAAGAGCGAUAGGCAAAAAACUGCAUGUGUCUGCCUAGUUUCUACGAAAUGUUUCUUGCCUCCGUUGUUCAUCAACAGAGAAAUUUCCACAGUAAUUUAUUGUCUUAACCCGGGAAUCCAAAAUUAGAGACGAGUCUACUUCCCUUGACGAGGAAACAUUAAGCGAAAAAUCAAAGUCUGAAGCAUUUCACAAAUAGCAGGACUAACUAGCAGCUAGCAUAUGCAUGCAUAGCUAGUUGCCAAAUUUUAUUCAAAUAUUAAAGUAGCUAGCGUAGUGAGCACCAUGCUAACUUCUAGCUAGUGAACCAUACAAUCAUUCCUUUCAUUUUAUUCUUGAACAGAAAAUAAAAGCUCAAUAGUGGUUUGUUAAAAAGCUUAAUUAAUUUAGUAAGGCCUCUGCCCACGAAUGUUUCCCCGGGGAUCAUAGUUGCACCCAAUAAACGUGCCUCCAUUGGUGCAUCGCGCUUUUGCACACCCUAAACGAACUGAGUUGCGCCAAACCACCUGCGUGUAAUGACCACACAUCUUCCCAGCAGCACAGGUGUUAGAGUUGUAGUCAUAGUCGGGCUUCUCCCCUACGAACAAGUUCACGGCAGCUGUGCCAGACAAGUCACCGGUGCUCUUCGCUAUGUUUUCACCAUAAGGCCCAUUAGAGUGCACUAGAUUGCAAUCACCAGCACGGGAGUUUGCAUAUCUUUGGGCAUAGGCUACUAGGUUGGGGUCCCAGGUCAAGGGAGCAACACCUACCUGGGCUCGAGCGGCGUUGUGGGCAUUGAGGUAGUCUUGUGGUGAGUCUUGGGCACCAGUGGAUUGGAGCAGGGCUAAGCCUAUGAGACAUACGAAGGCAAAGGAAAUCUUAGACAACCCCAUGGUAUUGGUUUGUAGGCUCACAAUGCAAACUAAUAUCUUGAGUGGUUGAUGAAGGAAAUGAGGCAUAUAGCAUGGAGUAUUUAUAAGGAAAGUGUUACGAGGGGACUGUAAUUUUCACUGAGGGCCAACAUUUUAUUUAUGACACAUAUUGAGAGGCCUUACUAGUCAAAGUGAAAGGAAAAUAAACCCCUCCGUGAAUAAGAACUUGAUCCAAGAUUUAGAAUUUAAACCUGACUUGAAAACCUAGAGGAAGAAAAUUUGCUUUGAUUUGGAAAGAGGACCAUCUAACAAAUUUUCUUCUUGUUUGGGUUUUUUAUAUAAAAAAUAUAUAUGUGGUCUCAACUUGUUAGCCUUUGGAUUAUUAUUUACUGUGGUGGCAAGUCUACGAUAAAAAUCAAGCAGAUUAAAGCAGAGAAAAACCAAGCAGAGGAUCCGAAUCUCUAUGUUAUCAUCAAUAAUAAAGAUAUUUGAAUUUGGGACAUCUUUUAAUAUUAAAAAAAAGAUAAAUAGAGAAAACUCUACGAGAGAAAAAAAGUUUCAGCUGUCACCCCUUUUACAGGUCGGUGAUGUAACGACCCGGUCCUAAAUAAAUUGGUAAUUAUUAAUUUAUUCAGAUAAAAUACCAUUUUUGACAGGACCCGACCCAAAUUCCCCUUUGGAAUCCGAGCCGAACCCUGUUCGUGAUCGACACUUGGUGAGUGCCGAGCAUAAAUGACCUGGUUGCCCUUUUGGUUACAAACUUAAUUUCAUUUUAGCCUUGACUUCUAAUGAAAAUUCGGCAGAGUCUUCCCUGUAAUUUGUUCAAUCCCCAAAAUUACAUCUGUCAAGACAAGCAUAUAUAUACAACCCAACUUCCAGCAUGCUUAUAUAUACAAUCAACAAUAAAGUUCGAGCCCAGGGGCAAUAUCAGAGAAUUUAUACAGAUUUAUUUACAAGAAGAACAUUUGGAGGGCCACGGACCCUACACUAAGCUGAAGAGAUGCAGGAAGCGGAAACUGCCCUGUGGUGACUUUCAGAUGCACGUCUACGGCCUGGGGGCGCAAAACCUUUAAAAGGUGAGUGGACCCAAAAACAAAGUUUUAAGAAAAAUAGCAUAAGAACAUACUAACCCCAUUGUAAAAACAGUUAUACAAAACUAAUUCAUUCUUUUAAUCAUAUACAUACUGAAAUCAAUGCACUCAUAUAUAUAUAUAUAUAUAUAUAUAUAAAUAUAUGUCAAGCAUACUCAUAUCAUCUUUAAACUCUUAAAAGCACUGAAAUCAGUUUUAAACUACCACAUAGGAGUACCCUUUUAAUUUUGUCAAUUCUUGAUAUCCGUCACUUCCUGAUAAUUCGUCAAUUCCCCUGGCAGGUCUCGGUGACAUAAAGUCAACUCAAGCCGCAAACUGGCAGGAUUCAGGGGACCGUAGUCAGCCUGAUCCGCAUUCUUGGCUCCCACGGUCCCGGCGUCCCCGAAACUCGUGAGGCAAAUGUCAAGCGCACUGACAAAAUUGAAGGCAAAUUGGAUGUCCGUGGACAUCGUCAUAUCCGAAGGCAACAUAUACCGAAGGCAACCUGGAUGCCCGUGGACAUCGUCUUAUCUGAAGGCAACUUGUUUCUAUAACUGGGUACCUAAGGUGGCUUAAGAAAAUCUAAAAUCUCUGAAACAUAUGAUAAAUAACUGAAUUUCUGUUAAAUCUAAAACUUUACUGGCAUUUAUAUGUUAUUUAGCUAAAAUUUCCUUUUCCUAUAUCCAUAACGGAUAUCUCACUCGGUAGCAUGUGAAUUCAAAACAUUUAAAAGCAUAUAUCAACUAAUAAAACACUAAUCUUUGCAUAAAACUUAUUUAAGAUCAAAUACUGUAGCUGAAUAGCAUAAAUUCAUUUAUGAAAACAAAGAGUCCACUCACAGCUGGUCCGAGUUCGCUGGACCUUUUGGAGGUCCCUCAUGUGGGUCAACUGGUGCCCGGGUGCCUGAUUCAAGUACCAUAAUAAUAUAUAUUAAUAAAACUGCUCGAUAUAAAUAUUUAAAUAAAACCCUGACCCCCAACUCCUAGAAGUGCGUGCAUCCAAUUAAAGUUACUCCUAUGCCCACAUUAACGUUCCCUUAAACCUAGGAUACAAGUCCCAUGAGUCUGGUCUCAAUCGGACGGUUAGUUUGGUCACAAACGCACGAACAAAGGCUCGAACCCAUUGAACCAGCACAAGAUGCAAAAUCCGUUCAGGGUUCAAACGUUAUCCAAAUUAAGAUCCGCGAAUUCCUACACGCUCUUGACAACACAAGGACCAUUCUAGGACUAAGUGUGGUCCCCACCAAAUGGAGGAGAGAAGGUGAUGGGUUAAAAAAAAAACAGGGAGGGGCUGUGGUCGCGAGGAAGAAGAGUGAGGGGAGAGAGAGAGAGUCAGUUUUUAAAAAAAAUCCUAAUUUCAAAAUUAUCAUUUUGCCCUUCUAUGUAUUUUGACUGUAUUUUCUUUGUUACAACUCCGAUUCAAGUCCACUCCGUGUCUACGGACUCGCUUCGUCGCGCUCUACGCACGAGGCAUGUGGAAUAGUCAAAUUCUUUCUCGGUCAAAAAGUCAACUUUUUCUUUACUAGAAUAUUCUAAGGGCAAACGUGUCAUUUCCUUUUAAUAGUUUAAUAGUUAAAUAUUAAUUAAGGUUUGGGUUAUUACAAUUUUGCCCCUAGAAUAUUUUAUUAGGUUUAAAGUUGACUUUUUGAUCGGGAAUGAAUUUGAAAAUUUCAACUGUACCGUUGCGUAGAGCAUGGCAAGAUGAGUCCGUAGACACGUAGUGAGCUUGAAUCGGAGCUGUGACGAAGAAGUGACAAGCAAAACAUCACCAAUGGUACAAUCGUAAAUAUUGAGAAAAAGGUUUGAUAAAAUUUGAUUUUUUCUCUCUCUCGGCGCAGUCUCUCUCCUCUCUCUCGCGACGGUAGUGCCAACCGGCAACAUUUUGGCUAGCCGUCCUCUCGUUCGGCCACCAAAGCUGACGGGGCCGGUACCAAAAUGACCUGGCCACCGUCCUCUUCCAACCCCAGUCCUUCACCGCCUCGGUCUGCCUCCGUUAGUUGGGUUAAGUGAUUAAGUGAGAUUAUGAGAUUAAUUUAUUGUUUGAAACUGGGGAACAGCGGAUGUUUUAUGGUUGUUUGAAGUUUAUGCAAUAUUAGAAUUUGGAAUAUAUGAUUAUUAAGAAGUGAGUGGACAUUUAUUUUAAUAUGCACUAUUUUCAAUGAUUGAAAGAAUAUGCAUGGAUUUGGUAUAUAUAUAUAUAUAUAUAUAUAUAUAUAUAUAUAUAUUUGGAAUAAGGAUUGGGAAAUUUAUAAGUUUCGAUAUGAGUAAUAUGAAAUUGAGAAUUGAAUUUUGAUGUGGGAAGUUAUAUGAUUAUAUUAUGUAUAAGUACAUACUUCCUAUACGUGGCGUUGAAAUUUCCGGCGUAUAGGAAGAAUGUAUGAUUAUGUAAGUCUCACAAGUGACGUUGGAUUUUUCAGUGUGUGAGACACUUCCUAUACGUGGCGUUGGAAUUUCUGGCGUAUGGGAAGAAUGUAUGAUUAUUUAAGUCUUACACGUGGCGUUGGAUUUCCCAAUUUGUGAGACACUUCUCAUACGUGGCGUUGGAUUUUCCGAUGUAUGGGAAGGAUAUGUGAUUUAAUGGUCUCACACGUGGCGUUGAAUUUUCCGGCGUGUGAAACACUUCCCAUACCUGGCGUUGAAUUUUCCGACGUAUGGGAAGGAUAUGUGAUUUGAUGGUCUCAUACGUAGCGUUAUAUUUUUCGGCGUGUGGGACACUUCCCAUACGUGGCGUUGGAUUUUUCGACGUAUGAGAAGGAUAUGUGAUUUGAUGGUCUCACACGUGGCGUUGGAUUUUAUGGCGUGUGAGACACUUCCCAUACGUGGCGUUGGAUUUUCCGACGUAUGGGAAUGAUAUGUGAUUUGAUGGUCUCACACGUAGCGUUGAAUUUUUCGGCGUGUGAAACACUUCCCAUAUGUGACGUUGGAUUUUCCUGCGUAUGGGAAGGAUAUGUGAUUUGAUGGUCUCACAAGUGGCGUUGGAUUUUCCGGCGUGUGAGACACUUCCCAUACGUUGCGUUGGAUUUUUCGGGGUGUGAGACACUUCCCAUACGUAGCGUUAGAUUCUCCGGCUUAUGGGAAGAAUAUGUGAUUAUUAGGUCUCACACAUGGCAUUGAAUUUUCCGGCGUAUUGGAAGAAUAUGUGAUUAUGUAGUCUCACACGUGGCGUUGAAAUUUCCUGCGUGUGAGACACUUCCCAUACGUGGCGUUGGAUUUUCCGGCGUAUAUGAAUAAUAUAUGACUAACAGGUCUCACACGUGGCGUUGGAAUAUUCCGGCGUAUGAGACAUUAUGAUUAUGUUAUUAGCUCAUCACACGUGGCGUUGGAAUAUUCAGCGUGUGAUAGAAUAAUAGGGAGAAGAAAAAGGGAUUAUUUUACUAUAUCGAGGAAAGAGUGAUGCUUAAAAGAAUUAUGUUUGGUGUGUUGUGAUUUAAAUUAAAAAGGGAAAGGAGUAAAUUCUAGAAUGUAUUAUUUUUGUGUUGCUGUAAUGGUUUGUACGUUAUCGGAAUCGGGAUUUUGUGGAAAGAACUACGUGUGGCUUGAUCCCUCAGUAAGAGUACGUAGGUAGCCUGGGGUCCCACUCAGGUGCAGCCGCAGACUAAAUUUUAUUUAUGUUGUUUUAUGGAGAUUGGUUCUGACCUGGUCGUUGGUCCUGAAAUUCGGUUGAAAACGAGAUGCGAUUAAAUAAUUGUUCAUACUCCCGUCUGGCUGAGGGAGGAUUGUGUAAAUGUGUUCUGGUCAAAACAGGCACAAAGCUUGUUUUGGAUUGAUGUACGAUUUGGGCUAAAACCUUAAACUAUUUGCGAUUGCGUUAAGAGGUUAAAACCUCGCAUAUUGGAUAGUUGGGAAAGUUAGAUGAUGUAAAUUUCAUUUGGCAUUCAUAAGUGUGUUUGAGUUUAUUAUUUGCCUUGUUUAAGGUAUGAUUUGGCUUAAGGACUUUGUUGGUAGUUUGGUUUCGGAUCAUUUGAGGGCCGGAUGCCGAUUUUGUGAAUUGCAUGAAAUUAUCUUGUGCAUGCUGCCGGUUGGUGAUAUUAAAUGUGUUUUAUGCAGGUUGAAAUUUUUGGGAAUUGUUCAAUUUACAGGGGAGACUCUGCCAAAAUUUUGGUAGAAAGUCUCGGUCUGUAAUAAGUGGGCCCGACGUCGAUGUGAUGUUGGAAUUUCCACAGGACUCAUCUCGGGUUUCAAGGAAUUCGGGGUGGGUCCUGUCAGGUGACCUCCAUCCCUCUCCUCCUCCCCUUCCUUCCCCUCUUUACGUACCCUCCCAGACAUGUCCCUCCCUUAUCCACCUCUACCCAUCCCCUCCAGGGCCUCCAUCUUAGUUGAGUGUGGUGGCCGCAGAAAAACUUAGUUGAUAAUGUGAUGUGGUAUUGACUUGUUAACUAAAAGUAUUUGAGCCAUAAUAACUAAUUUAUUGGUGUGUAAUAUAUAUAAAUUCUAUUAGAGUGCUACUAUUUCCAUCCACUUAUCCUAUUUUUCUAUCAAUCUUAUCUUCUCACUCAUCAUGUAAAUUUGAAAAAGCACAAUCCUAUUUUUCCACCCAACAUUAUUUCUAAAAUACCCUUUAUAAAUCACCUUAUGUGGUAUGCCAACUCAUCUAAUACAACUAAGUUUUUUUAAUUGUUUUAUUAUUAUAUCCUAAUUAAAGCAAUAAUUACCAAAAAGUCUUUCAAUCCCCCUUUUUCUUCUUCCUCCUCCCCCACACUCUUCCCACAAAAUUUCCAUUAUCGCCAGAUUUCUCACGGGCGCCGCUAAACCCAUCUCGCUCACUCAUUCUUCCAUGACAGUUCCCUUUCUUCACCAUGGCAGUUGUAUCGGAUUUCUCACUGCAACUGCAUCAUUGUUCAUGCCUCUCUCAUCUUCUAUAUUUUCUAGAUCUAUAUAUAAAGAUAAUUGGUUUAGAUAAUUACAUUGUUCUGGGUGUUUGGGAUACAAUAACUAAUAAUUAUAAAACCUAUCAUGAACCGAUUUGUUUUAAGACUUCAACUAAGAAAGUUAUUGAGAUAUUUGUUGUGGUGAUGAAAGAAAAGAUUUUUUCAGAUUUGCAGGAAGAGUUUAGUUGAAUUUUUUGGAUGGUCUAAAGAGGAUAUAAGGUUUCUAUAGGAGUAGCCUUUUGAAUUAUCUAGCCACUCCCCAUCUGAUUAUGCUUCGCCAUGUGAAAUCCUAUUACUCAGGACGAAACGUAAUUGAUUGAGAAUAAUAAAACAGUGCUAUCCACGUGGUAUUGACAAGCAAGUGGGGUUGUAGGAGGCAUGCAUGUGGAGUAUGUAUUGGAAUAUAGUGUGGAAAAUAAUUUUCUUUCAAUAAUUAAUUGUCCCUUUUCCUUGCAUUCAUUUUUCGUCCUUCUGCCCUGAGGGAAAGGGUAUAAAUUGGUUGAAUUGUCAUUGUAGUCCUACAAUUCUUAUAGAGCGUAAUAGACAUUUCAAACUUUUCCUAAAUGGUCUCGGUCAAGAGAUUAUAGGGUUGUUUGUUAGGGAGGACUAGAUUAGACUAGACUAAACUAACAAAAUGACUAUAUUUCAUGUGCAUUCAAAGCAUAAUAUGAAUAUUUUGCCUAACUUGGAGGAAUAAUAGGGACUAUCUAUAAGAGGUUGAUUACUAAAACUUAUCCCCCUAUCCACCUCUACCCAUCCCCUCCUCCAGGCCCUCCAUCUUAGCUGAGUGUGGUGGCCGCAGAAAAACUUGGUUGAUAAUUUGAUGUGGCAUUGACGUGUUAACUAAAAGUAUUUGAGCCAUAAUAACUAAUUUAUUGGUGCGUAAUAUUCAUCAGUUGUAUUAUGUUGUUUCUUUCUGUAAACAUCGAAAUUUCAACAUCUAGAAAGCUAGGAAAUAAUCAAGUCGCCAAGACAUCCCCCUUGACAUUUAUUGGAUUGCCAAACUUUUACUAGUAUUACUACAUUAAAAUUUGCAUAGCGCUUUCACUUUACUUCCAAGAAAGGGAAGAGAAAAGAAAAUAAGAAAUGAAAAACAAAAAACAAGUCAAAAUAUGCAUGAAUGCUCGAUCGCAUGAUUCUCCGAUCUAUGAAUUCUUUUCUAUUUUGCUUUUUAUGAUUUAGGUUUAAUCAGAAGACCAAAAAUAAAAAUACUAAUGGCCAGGAUCCCUUCAGGCACACACUGUGAUCAAUUAAGCCUAUUAGUAAGGCUUCACCCCAACAGAGUUGCCUGCAGGAUCAUAGUGGCAAACGACAUAGGAACCUCCAUAGGCGCACUGGACUUUGGCACACCCAACAAGCCCUGUGUCACGCCAAACGACCUGCGUAUAAUGGCCACACUGCUUCCCAGGGGCGCAGGUGUUGGUCUUGUAAUCAUAAUCGGCCUUCUCCGCCACCCAUUGGUCCACAGCCAAUUUCGCCGUCAAGUCUCCGUCAGGGCUCAUUGCAAGGUUUUCACCAGGGCCUGAAUUCGAGUGCACGAGGUCGCAGUCGCCGGCACGUUGGUUAGCAUAGUUUUUCGCAGAAUCUGCUAGGCCUUCAUCCCAGUCCAAGGUGUCGAGGCCAACCGCCGCUCGCGCCGCGUUGUGGGCUUUCACGUAGUCAUCUGGGGCGUUUUGGGCACGGGCUAACCCUAUUAGGCAAAUUAAAAGUAGGGCUAAUGAGAUCUUGUUCUUGCACAACCCUUCCAUAAUGUUAAUUAGUGGUUAAUUGUAAUAAUCUACAGAUUGUUCUGCUAAAGAGUUUCUUGUUGGAUAUGGAUUGGAAAAUACCUCAUUAUAUAUGUUGGAGAAAAUUAUAUAUGUUGUUAUUUUUGUGGAUGUGAAAAUUAAUUUUGUUUGCAUCAUGUGUAACCAAGGAAGAGCCCUAUAAGUUGCCGAAAUACCCGCACCUUGCAGAACCUAAAAUAGCUAGGCUCCUUUUAAUUGAGGAGGAGCUCCUACUCAAAACAAAUAGAAUUUUGACACUUGACAAAUUCCUUUAACCUUAUUUUUUUGUUUGAACUUGAACAAGUCUCAAACUUUUCCUUGGCCUAAACUUUUGUCAUUUCUAAUUUAAUCAGGGCUGAUGAGAUCUUGUUUUUUUUUAAAUUUAUAAUUAUUUAUAAUUUUUUUUUAGUAUAGGGGAUGAGGGUUGCUCACACACACAUACACAUAAAACUAAGAUGACAUGGGGGUUCGAACCUGAGACCUCUGGUUUGUAAGUGAAAGUCCUUUUCCACUAGGCUAGACUCCGUUAACGAUGAGAUCUUGUUCUUGGGGUGACGGAGACAUUUGUUGAUGGAAAAAUAUUGAGAUGUACGUCUAGUGGUUGGAUCAUUUAGUUAAAUUAGUUUUGUUUGCAUAUGUGUAACAAUGUAAGUGUAACCAAAGAAGAACCCUAUAAGUCGCCAAAACACCCGCCCCUUAAGAACUAAAAUCUUUUGUGCCAUUUGUAUCACCACCAUAAAUAUCAAGAAACUGAAAUUGUUAUUAAUCAGCACCAAAAAAAAAGAAAAAAAAAAAAGACUCCAACUAGUUAAACAAUUGUGUCAAUUUGGUCAAAUAUAGAGACAUUAUUACAGUUACAAAGAACCAUCAUAUUGGCUAUGGAGUAAAAUUGCGGAAAUACGCUCACCUUUCACGAAAAUAAAUGGGAGCCACAAAAUGAACCAUCAUGUCCUGGAAGAAGAUUAGCGACGUUUGUUAUUCCUUUUGUCGGCGUUUGUUAAAUUUUUCGUCUUGAUCUUUUUUGGUCAAUAAAGUCAAGAAACUCUGUGAGUUUUUUUGUGUUUUUUCUUCUCAUAAUUCAAGAAACUUUAUUGAGUUUGUUGGGUGUUCUUAGGGGGGUGUAUUCAAUUAGGAUUCUAGAGCGUUGAAAAAGAUUUUAAAAAUCCGGGUGUAUUCAAUUUGGAUUUAUACAAACUUUUAAAAAGUCUAUAACAGUUUGAGUGUAUUCAAUCUAGACUUGGUUGAACUUAUAAAAUGUCCAUCUAAAUGUGGGUGUAUUCAAUUAGGACUUGGAAAAAGUCUAAAUAAAUUUACCUGUAUUCAAAAGGAGAUAGAUUUGGAAGGAUUUAAUUAAGUGUUGGAGUUUGGAGAAUUUGUAGGUUUUAGGUAUAAAUAAUAAAGGCCAACAUAAGUCUAACCUCCACCCGAAAGAUUUCAUAUGACUUUUUUAUAUAUAUAUUUUUCUCCCUGUGUUAGAAAAUUUUCCAUCGUUUGGAAAACAAUGCACUAAGCCAUGCACUGACCUUGGGUGGUUACAAGCGUCCUGUGUUAAGCAAAGCUCCUCCAUUAGUGAUUUCUUCAAAUCAACCAGUUCGAGUUAUUGGGAGGAAAGCUCGGCUAGAGAUUUUUCGAUCUCCGAUAAGUUCCCCUUGGAUAUCUCUCGGCAUGAAGCCAACAUCAAGGCGGUGGAAGGUUGAGAUAUAUUUCCAUCACCAUAACAUUACUAGAUGAUAGGGCCCUUGCUUUUUGGAUAAAGGGUUGUUUUUUGUUUUGUUUUUUUUAAAUUGAAUUUUUGGACAAAGAGUUUGCUGUUCGUGAACAAAAUCAAAGGGAAAUUUCCAACUAGUGGAAAUAUCGAAGGGAAAUUCAAUUUGAAAUUCAUUGUUUAGGUAUGAAAGUUUCCAACUUGUGGAAAUUUCAAAGGGAAAUUCACUGUUUAGGUAUGAAAGUUUUCAACUCAUGGAAAUUUCAAAGGAAAAUUCAUUGUUGUGCACACAAGUAGAGGAAGAAUUUGGAAAUAAAAAAAAAACAAAAAACAAAAAGGGGAUGGUCGACUAGUGGCUAGGUCAAGAUAGUUUAAAGAAAAUAGUGUUGGGAAGAAAGAGUGAUAAAAGAAAAUAGUAUUGGGAAGUCUAUGCAAAUAUAUCUGAAUUUAUAACAAAAGUUUAUACAAAAGUAUGGAAGUCUAUAAUAAAAGCCUAUAUAAGUUCAUUAAAAAUCCGGGUAAAACAAUAGGAGUUAUACAAUUCCAGGAAAUCUGUCACUUAAAAAAAAUCUUUCACAAUCGUAUACAAUCCUAAUUGAAUACAACCCCCUUAGUCUCUUUAGAAGAGUCAUGCCAGUUCGUGGCUAAUUUUGUCCUUGAUAUCAUUGAAUUAUAUUUGGGAAAUUAUGGCGGUAGAAAUGGGUAUGGAAAAGUUAUUUUCGAGAGUGAUUCUCUCCAGAUCCUUUUCAGCUUUUUUACUGGCUCAAGUCACUAGGGAAGUUUUUACCUAUGUCUGUCAUAUUGCUAAUGGGAUGGCUCCCUUUAUUGUUUAUAUCCUUUGUACUCUUUUUUCACUGUAUCGUCUUUUUAUAAAUUAAAAAUAAAUAAAAUAAAAGGGAGCCACACAAAAUAGUUGGACAUUCCAACAAAAUGCGCAAUACGUUCUUUUGACUGAUGCAAUUUGUUUUGCAAGAGAUUGUUGCUCAACUGAUUAAGAAUAUUUACCCUUGAAUCCUAUGUCCAAGGCUCGAUUCCCCUUAGGGCCCAUUUGGUUCAUGGGAAAGGAGGUUUGGGAAUGAGAAUUCAAUUGUUUUCCCAUAUUUGGUAAGUCCACGCAUGGGAAAUAGUUGCCUGGCACAUGGGAAAGUAGGGGGGAAAGUGAAGCCCUCCUCUUAACUUAAGUUUUGUUUUCCUUCAUCAUGGGAAAGUUUGGAAAAAUAAGCCAACAUUCAAUGCACAAUUUUCAUGAGUAUUUUGUCCAUGAACAAUUUAGAAUUACAAUGUAUCAUUAAAUGCUUUCUUUUUUUAUUUGAUUUAAUAUGGGUAUAAUUGGAAAAUUAUACAAAAUUUGUUUUCCAUUCCUACUUAAAACAAACAUGGGAAAGGAAACAAACGGGACCUUAUCUUAAAAAAGAAAAAAAAAAGAAAAAAAAAAAGAGAGACAACUUUGGACGCAGCAUGCAUAUGUCUCCAGUUUCCAAAAUAAUAAAAAGUCAUUCUUCAUAUCCAUAAAGUUUAGCAUCCACCAUGCAGGUGAAUAAGAUACAAUAGAAUUGAUGAUCUAACAUCACUUCUUAAUUCAUUUUAUUCUUGAUAAUAUAGCUUCAUAGAUAUAGUUGGUUUAGUAAGGCUUCUCCCCAACAUAGUUGCCUGGCGGAUCAUAGUUGCACCCGAUGAAGGUACCUCCACUGUUGCACCUCACUUUUGCACACCCUACACGAGCUGUGUUACGCCAAACAACCUGCGUAUAAUGCCCACACAUCUUGCCAUCGGCACAAGUGUUAGAGUCGUAGUUAUAGUCGGCCUUCUCCGCCACCCACAUGUUCACGGCAUCCGUGCCCGACAAGUCAGCGGUGCUCAUGGCAAGGUUUUCGCCGUAGGGCCCACCAGAGUGGACAAGAUUGCAGUCGCCAAUGUGUUGAUUGGCAUAGUCUUGCGCAUAGCCCUGUAGCUUCUCAUCCCAUGACAAUGGCCCGACGUUUACCGCCGCUCGAGCGUUGUUAUGGGCAGUGACGUAGUCUUGUGGUGUGUCUUGGGCAUGAGUGGAUUGGAGAAGGGCAGAGCCUAAAACACAAACGAGGGCUAGUAAAAUCUUGGACAGCCCCAUGUUGGGUUUUGAGAGUUUGAUAAUGUAUGAAGGAGUUUUUUGUUGCGAGAACGAUGCAUAUGGUGUGGGGUAUUUAUAAUGGAAAAUGUGGAAAUUUAUAUGCGUUACCAUGCAAGAGCGUUCCUAAUACGUUACUGACUCUAUCAAUAAUGGAGUGUGCUUGUGCAAUAUAAUAUCAAAAUACUUGAGAGCUUGUAAAAUAUAUUAUCGAUGCAUCUAGAAAACAUAUGAGUUGCUUUGCCAUCAGAAAAUAAAAAAUAAAAAAACGUAUGAGUUGAUCAGUUAGCUAGGUCUAACUAAGGCUAACCGUCAAUUUCGGGGAAUAAAUUGAUGGCAAACUUUGGAAGACAAGAAAAGAAAAGUAAAUUUUGGAAAAUAGGGGAAAGGAAUAUGAAGUAUAUACCAUACCAUGAUUGCUUUGGAAAAUCCUUUAUGGACUUUACCAUACAAUGUGUAGUGCGUGUACUUGUACGGGUCUUGAAAAAGAAAGAGAUAUUUAGUCAUAUAUCCAUUCUUAGCACUAAAAUUAUAAAUAAAUUAUACAUCAUUUAAUUUCUAUAAACAAACCCAACAAAAACCCAAAAAAUGACAGCCGACUCUAUUGAAUUUAAUUUUAAUUAUUAAAUUACUUUGAUGCCCUAUUGAGUGUUUUGGGCUUUUUUAUGAGGUUUUGGGGUUGGGUUCAUUUUAAGAAAUCAAUUACAGUUUUGUAAUUCAAAAGAAGUUAAAAGCAUUUUUGUUAUGUUGUAAAUCGGCUUUGGGUGUGUUUCUAAACUCCAUUUCAUAUAUGAUUUUUUUUUAAUGUAAAUAAUUUGGGCUCUUAUAUUGGGUAUAAUAGUGAAUCUCCCAAAAGGAAAAGUGAAGUCAAUAUAACUGUUGAGGCCCAAAAAAUCUAAGGAGAUUCACUAUUAUACCUAAGGGCCUUCAUGACUCUACUCUCUAGGAUAAUGAGGUAUUGUCAUCUUCUCAAUACGAAGGCAAAUGAAUGAAAAUUGGAGAAAAGAGACUUGAGCAAAUUAUGUUGUGAUAUUGGAGCAUGAGAUUGAUAGGUACAUCACCGACCCUAUUGAAGAUGUGGUUGACUUAUUCGAUGUUUUAAAGUGGUGGAAAUUGUAUGAGGUUAAGUAUCCGGGUUUGGCACUUAUUGCAAAGGAUGUGCUUGCCAUCCCAGUAUCAACGGUGGCUUCAGAAUCAUGUUUUAGCACGGGUGGUUGGAUAGUUAAUUCAUUUCGUGCUUCUUUGACUCCUAAGAUUGUGGAAGCCUUAAUUUGCUCUCAAAAUUGGUUAAGGUAAGAUGACAUAUCCUCUUUAUAAUAUGAGCCAACAAUUCAAGAGAUGAAGUUGAAUUAGGUAUUUCUUUGUAAUUUUAUAUGCUUUAUUAGUGUAUUUUACAAUUUGUAGGUUUCACUAAUGUUUUAAUGGGUUUUUUUAAUUUUAUAUAGAUUUAUGAGUUCAUCCACACCUCCGAAGUCUGCCCCAGCUACUUUUUAAUGUUAGGAGGAAUUUAAUGAAGUUGCAACACUUAGGACUACAUGCUUUUGUGGAGUUUUUGCAUGCUUGUAUUUUGUUUAUAUUUUGCUGCAGUGGGAUUGUAAUUUAUUUUGAUGAAUUUGGAUUGUAAUUUAUUUUUUGCUAAAGUUGGAAUAUAAUUUAUAUUUGUUGAAGUUGGAUUGAUUUUGAUGUGUUAAAAGCUUGGUGGAAGUUUAAAUUUGAGCUUGGCCUAUUUGAUAAUGAACAAAUUGGUAGGUUUGUAGUAUAAUUAAAUUUUGGGCAGGUCUGUAAUAUAAUACAAUUUUGGGCAGAUCUGUAAUGAAAUAAAAUUAUAUAUUACAAUUUUGGGCUCAGGCCAAAAAUCAAAAAUCGCAAGAACCAAACUGGAAUUGGGCAGGUCUGGGUUGGUUCGGUCUUGCCUAUAAAUUUUUGUCAAAACCAGACAAAACCGAAUUGGUCUUCAUUUUCAAUUCAAGUUUUAAUUUUAUAAGAAAUCGGCCUGAGCCGGACCAUACUCACCCUUAAUAUCCAUUAAGUUUAGCAUCCACCAUGCCGGUGAAUAAGAUCAAUGAAUUGAUGAUCUAACAUCACUUCUUAAUUCAUUUUGUUCUUGAUAACAUAGCUUCAUAGAUAUAGUUGGUUUGUUUUUUUAGACGAAUAAAUAUAGUUGGUUUAGUAAGACUUCUACUCAACAUUAUUGCCAAUGGUGAAUAUUAUUGGCGCAUCCAUGCACCUGGCACAUGGUAGAAUUUUUGCAUAGGAGUUGUAAGGCUCGUAAGGCUUCUCCCCAACAUAGUUGCCUGGCGGAUCAUAGUUGCACCCGAUGAAGGUACCUCCACUGUUGCACCUCACUUUUGCACACCCUACACGAGCUGUGUUACGCCAAACAACCUGCGUAUAAUGCCCACACACCUUGUCAUCGGCACAAGUGUUAGAGUCGUAGUUAUAGUCGGCCUUCUCCGCCACCCACAUGUUCACGGCAUCCGUGCCCGACAAGUCAGCGGUGCUCAUGGCAAG